UCAGAUACUUACAUGGAGGCACGUCAAAUCCUGAAGAAGGCUCUGACAUGUAGCACCUCGGACCUCUAAACUGAGGAUGAACAGGAACGACCUGGGAGAAGGAGAACAACAGCGAAACAUUUCUUUGGUGACACUGAUGUAGAGGAGGACUACCGACCCCCAAAGAGGUCCAAAUCCGGGUCAGCUGCUGGGACAAGUCACCAACUCCCUGAAAAUAGUCCAGAGAAUAGUCAAAUGUUUGGCAGAACUGCCCCUCCCCAACAACUACCACCACAAACACCCCUCUCUCAACCUGCACAAUGCAACCAGCAACAAUGGGGGCCAGAGGAGCCAAGCCAGGUCUACAGACCUACCUGGAGAGGUGGGAGACAUGGCCCAGAAAACAUUCCCUGCUCUGCUGCUCAGGUCCACAUUUUAAGCCUGCUGGAGCACAUUAAGCAGCAGCAGGACCAGCUGGUGGCCAAGGUCAAUCACCUGAGCAGCAGGGUGCUCAACACCUCAACACCUCAAGAGCCAGAGUGUCCCGAAUGCAUUCAGCUGCCCAUCGAAUCACUGGAAGCGGUGGAUGGGCUUGAAGCAUUCCUGAAAGACGCUGCCAAUGCAGCAGCCAAACAAAGAAUGGUGCUGUAUGUGCAAAUGGUUUGUGUCGCACAGCCACAGACAUUCAACAUCAUGCCAUAAGAUGGUUUAACUUGGCUGCAGACCGUGGUGCAGCGAGGAGGCGCCUGACCAACCGGUCUAACCAGGCUGAGGCCGAUGAUUAGGC